UACGUAGGGGGCGAGCGUUGUCCGGAAUUACUGGGCGUAAAGGGAGCGUAGGCGGUCGAUUAAGUUAGAUGUGAAACCCCCGGGCUUAACUUGGGGACUGCAUCUAAUACUGGUUGACUUAGAGUACAGGAGAGGGAAGCGGAAUUCCUAGUGUAGCGGUGAAAUGCGUAGAUAUUAGGAGGAACACCAGUGGCGAAGGCUGCUUACUGGACGAUAACUGACGCUGAGGCUCGAAAGCGUGGGGAGCAAA
rnacentral:rRNA from 1 species